UACAGAGACUGCAAGCGUUAUUCGGAUUCACUGGGCGUAAAGGGUGCGCAGGCGGCCAAGUGUGUCAGGUGUGAAAUCCCGAGGCUUAACCUCGGAACUGCGCCUGAAACUACUUGGCUAGAGUACUGGAGAGGGUAACGGAAUUCACGGUGUAGCAGUGAAAUGCGUAGAUAUCGUGAGGAACACCAGAGGCGAAGGCGGUUACCUGGACAGUUACUGACGCUCAGGCACGAAGGCGUGGGGAGCAAAAGGG
rnacentral:rRNA from 1 species